GACGAACGCUGGCGGCGUGCUCAACACAUGCAAGUCGAGCGGUAAGGCCCUUUCGGGGGUACACGAGCGGCGAACGGGUGAGUAACACGUGGGUGACCUGCCCUUAGCUCUGGGAUAAGCCUGGGAAACUGGGGUCUAAUACCGGAUAUGACUCCAUGACGCAUGUUGUGGGGUGGAAAGCCUUGUGCGGCUAGGGAUGGGGCCUGCGGCCUAUCAGCUUGUUGGUGGGGUGAGGCCUACCAAGGCGACGACGGGUAGCCGGCCUGAGAGGGCGACCGGCCACACUGGGACUGAGACACGGCCCAGACUCCUAC
rnacentral:rRNA from 1 species